AACCUUUACACUGCACGACAGUGCGAUAGGGGGACUCCGAGUGCGAGGGCAUAUAGCCCUCGCUUUUCUGAACCGUAAGGUGGUUCAGGAACAAGGACUGGGCAAGACCGGUGCCAGCCGCCGCGGUAAUACCGGCAGUCCGAGUGAUGGCCGAUAUUAUUGGGCCUAAAGCGUCCGUAGCCGGCCGGACAAGUCCGUUGGGAAAUCGACGCGCUCAACGCGUCGGCGUCCAGCGGAAACUGUCCGGCUUGGGGCCGGAAGACCUGAGGGGUACGUCCGGGGUAGGAGUGAAAUCCCGUAAUCCUGGACGGACCACCGGUGGCGAAAGCGCCUCUGGAAGACGGAUCCGACGGUGAGGGACGAAAGCUCGGGUCACGAACCGGAUUAGAUACCCGGGUAGUCCGAGCUGUAAACGAUGUCUGCUAGGUGUGACACAGGCUACGAGCCUGUGUUGUGCCGUAGGGAAGCCGUGAAGCAGACCGCCUGGGAAGUACGUCCGCAAGGAUGAAACUUAA
rnacentral:rRNA from 1 species